rnacentral:lncRNA from 1 species
GUCUGGUCUGCAGCAGGAGUUGGGUAUUAAUUCAAAGCAGUCUGCCAAUUUGUUAUUAGAAAGUUACGGUUGUAUGAUUUUUUUUUUUUUAACUGAGUAGAUUCCGAAUAUACAGCUAGAUUACAAUGUCCAUGCAAAUUACCUUACUAUUUUCAUAUAUCACUAUGAGACCUGCCAAAUGAAUACUGUUCCCCUAAAUUGUGGUAUUUCCCUUCCGCAAAUGAGUUUACCAUUUUUGCAGCAGCAAUUGCAGGUUGCAUGAGAAUGGAAAGCCGGACACAAGUAGAAUAACCUAAGGACGGAAUUCAGCAAGGAUUGUCAGAUACAUUCAUCCAAAGUAAUUGCAAGACAUGAACUAAUCUCUCAUCUCUCCUUGGUGAAUACCUAAGGAACUGGCAAGUUACUGUCUAGUUGUCAUCCCCCACCAGCAGGUAUUACUUGGGAAAACUCCUUCUCUGUUAUUCAGCGAGUCUGACUGCAAAUGAAGCAGCGGGUGCGCAGAAUGGUCACACUGCUCCUGCCUCCGAAUCAAAUUCCCGAUAUUAUAAAAAGGCGCUGGCUCUGAAGUUUUAUAACAAGAUUCAUCAGUUGACUAUUUUGCUUUCCUGGAAAGGCGCUCAACUGAAUAAG